AGUUGGUCCGAAUGUUGUGGGUUAUUGUUAAGAUUUAACAUUGCCUCCCCCGACAACCAUGCUUGGUUAGCUUAAA
ensembl:Y_RNA Y_RNA Y RNA